rnacentral:rRNA from 1 species
CGUGAAAUUGUUGAAAGGGAAGCGCUCAUGACCAGACUUGGGCUUGGUUGAUCAUCCAGGGUUCUCCCUGGUGCACUCUUCCAGCCCAGGCCAGCAUCAGUUCGCUGUGGGGGAUAAAGGCUUUGGGAAUGUGGCUCCUCCGGGAGUGUUAUAGCCCAUUGUGUAAUACCCUGUGGUGGACUGAGGUUCGCGCAUCUGCACGGAUGCUGGCGUAAUGGUCAUCAGCGACCCGUCUUGAAACACGG